UACGGGAGGCAGCAGGGGGGAAUAUUGCACAAUGGGCGCAAGCCUGAUGCAGCCAUGCCGCGUGUAUGAAGAAGGCCUUCGGGUUGUAAAGUACUUUCAGUCGUGAGGAAGGUGUUAAGGUUAAUAACCUUAGCAAUUGACGUUAGCGACAGAAGAAGCACCGGCUAACUCCGUGCCAGCAGCCGCGGUAAUACGGAGGGUGCGAGCGUUAAUCGGAAUUACUGGGCGUAAAGGGCACGCAGGCGGUUAAUUAAGUUGGAUGUGAAAUCCCCGGGCUUAACCUGGGAAUGGCAUUCAAGACUGGUUAGCUAGAGUCUUGUAGAGGGGGGUAGAAUUCCGAUGUGUAGCGGUGAAAUGCGUAGAGAUGUGGAGGAAUACCGGUGGCGAAGGCGGCCCCUGGACAAAGACUGACGCUCAUGUGCGAAGCGUGGGAGCAAACGAGGUAUAGAC
rnacentral:rRNA from 1 species